rnacentral:rRNA from 1 species
AUGAAUUGUAUGAGCUGGAACUGCCCGGGGCUUGGGAACCCCGAGGCAGUUCGCGAGCUUCGCAGCAUUGUGAAGCACGAAGUUCCCGCCCUGUUGUUCGUUAUGGAAACCAAAAUCAGGGCUAAGCGAGUUGAAGAUCUAUGAUACCAGUUGGGUUUCGUGGGAUGCUUUGCGGUUGAUAGUGAGGGACUGAGAGGAGUUAUUGGCCUCUUUUGGUCCAAGGACUAUGAUGUGCAAAUGAAAAACUACAGU